CCCUUUUUCAUACUUUUCUUCAUUUUUUUCUUGUAUGCCGCUCUUUGAAGUGAGGAAGCAGUGCACUGUGCAAUCAAACAUACUUGAGAAUAAAAGACACGCUCUAUAUGGAGAGAGAGAGAGAGAGGAUGGGGGCGGGGAAUGAAGAUAGUAGCUCGACACCUCUGCUUAUUUCCUUUCACUUAAUUUUUCUUGUCACUUGCUGCACACAUUUGUUCUUGUCAGUCAGAGGCAAGAUGGAAAACUCUCUGCUGAUGACUCUUACGGCGCUCCUGCUCCUCGGUGUUCGAGAAGGAACAUCACAGAUGUCUAAUACCCCAAACAUCACCAACACAACCUCCUCAACCCCAAAU